CUGUUGGCUGGAAGGGAAUUUACAGUGCUUCUUGUAGCUGGGGGAGAAAUCUGGGGGUGGGUCUGACCCGGCCCCAGAAGCCAUGCAGGGGAAGAGGAAGUCCUGUCCUCUUCAGCCUAGCCGGGACUAGCAGUUGAGCCCGGCACAGCGUAGGAGCCACCAGCCAGAUCUUCCCCAGUCCCGGCCCCUGCCCCACAAUGAUUUAGCUCUCUGCCGGCUACCCUGGGCAUCCGAAAUAUACUGCUAGGGAGGGUCGCAUGACCACUCUUGUGGCUUCCCCUUGCUUCCCCGUCAGAAAGUCAUUUUUCUGCAGGGAAGGAAAGAAAUCUGCAGGGGACAUAAAUUCUGUGCAUACAUAGUGGCACAGAAUUCCUCCAAGAGUAAAUAACACUCUGAUCUUCCAAUAUGUUUGUAUUUCAAUUAACAGUAUCU